UGUUGUUCUAAUUAAGGAUGCCAUUCUAAGU
rnacentral:piRNA from 1 species